UCUUACUUAUUUUCCUUUCCUUACUAGCUCUGUGUAUGUGGGUUUUGGCAUGGGUCUGGGGGUGGCAUUUGCACUUGAAUGCUGGUGCUCAGGCAAUGUGUCGUUUGUGUGCUGGGGUAGGAGGAUGUCUGCCUCCUGUGAAUUGCUGUGCGGAGCCACUUAUGGGCAUUUACCUGACUGAAUGCAAGGGAAGAAGAUUGAGCUUAGCAUGAGGAAUGCUGAUUAUACGUAAGAAAGAACUCACAGCCAUGAGAGUUGUUGGACACCUGUAUUCUCCAACUACACCAGAAGAGGAGACUAGAACACAGACAGAUACGGCGGAAAGACUAUUUGAAGAAGACCAUCAACAAGCCAAGAAAAGAGGCCUCAGAAGUCAAUCCUGUUAACACCAUAAUCUGGGAUUUCUAGCCUCCAGAACUGUGAAAAAUAAAUGUAAAGUACCUAGUCUAUGGUACUUUGUUAUGGCAGCCAUAGCAAACUAAAACAGUAUCUAAAUAUGUCUUAGCCAUUCACUUGCUGCGUGACCUUGGACAAGUCAUUAAAACUCUCUGAGCUUCAGUUUCCACAUGAGCUCUAAAUUUCCUUCAAUAACUAACAUUCUGUGAGUCUUUAUAAAAAGAAAGCCCCAGUUACAUUACACAACUUUUACUUUCUUGCCAAUGAUGUUAGUUGUAAGAGGACACAGUUCUAGACACAUGUACUCAUGCAACCACCUACAUAGCCUUUCAUUAUCACACUAUCCUUCUAAGCUUACAGUCACACGAACCUUUCACUACUCUAAAUGCCAGUGUAGAUCCAGCUUGCAAUGCAAACACAUUUAGGUGCCCUGACUCAGAUGCUCUCUCUUUGCUGCAUCUCACAAAAAAAAUUGGUUGAAAUUGAACAUUUUAGUCAGCUGACUGGUUUUGGUGAACAUAGUGCCAAAUAUCCUCACUGGUUUAUCUCUAUAUAAUUGAUAGAUCUUGUUUUUAAACUGUCAGAUUCUGUCCAUCUUUUUUGACUCGGAAUCACUCUGUGGCCAUGCAAGUCCUAGUCAAUUCCAUCACCGUUAUUCUUUGAAUUGAUUGGUAAGUUCCCUCAAAAGAAUCAACCCAGACAAUUGACACAGCCUCACUCAGGCCCAGAGAAAGCACUCUCAGGUCAUGUCUAUAAGAUGCCAAAAUAUCCACUCGGGUCAAUCAAUUCAGUGGGAAAUCAGUCUAACCACCAGCUAUUGCACAGUGUAGGCAAAACAAUGUUCCCUUGUCAGCCUGAGGUGACUUAACUUUGUAAAUGGCCAGUGUCCUUCCUCCUCCUUAUUGAGCUGACUUGUUAGGACAAAAAAAUGUGUGUUCAUAUGGACACACGCACACGUACAUACCACACCACACUACUCUUAGUUGUCUCUUUUGGGGAGAGAAAGGACUUGGUGAUAAAAAAACUUAUGCUGGCAGGGGCAGUGGGAAGACCUUGGGAUGACUUAUCUCAGGUGUGCAUUUUUAUAAAUGGGACUCAGAUUGAAGCUUUGGCCGAUAAUUGCCCCAUUUGAUGGAAUGAGAGAGAAGGAGCCAACUAGAAUGGGGCUUGGCCAUGUUAACUGGUCAUGAAUAAAAAUGACCCAAUGUAUAUUUGCAUAUGUUUGGGCUUUUGUAUUUAGCUUUUUAUACUUUUGUUCCAGGACUUGCAUGUUUGUAUCCCCACAUAUUCACAUAUGUCUGAAUGUUUGGGUUUGUGUUCCUGUUUUCCGACAUGCCUGAGUCUGCUGAUAUGUACUUGUACAUUUGCAUCUGUCUCUGACUGUUUGCAUGUGUUUGUACAUGGCCUGUAUAUGACCAGUUAGAUUUGCCUGUGCCUCUGUGCAUUUCUCCUUUUGGGUUUCUGUAAAAGGAUGCAAUUACAUGUAUCUGCUUGUCUUUAGAGAUCAGUAACUCCAAAGUGAGACUUCAGACAUCUUGCAAAUGCCUGGCAAGCCAAGGAUGAAAUCUGAUGCUAGAGAAUAGUUGGGCUGGCCCUCUGCUCAGAUCCCCUCUGGCUCAACAACCAUUUUUGCCCAAGAUGAGAUCUGCAGUGUCUUCCAAGGACCCCUUCUGUCUAUCUCCACAACAUGUUGACCUCCAGGGUCCUCUCUCAGGCCAUUUUUAAUGGACCCAAUGAGUAGAGAUGAGUCUCUCGAAGUGAACUGGGAUUUUAAGAUGGAAAUAAAAAAGGAAACUUCAUCUUUUUCUCCCCACUCUCUUCAUUUUCCCUUAUUGACAUUCAUCAACUCUGAGCCUGAGGCACAAGGGAGACAGCUACUUUGCAUUUUUUAGAUCUUUUUCACAUUUUAAAAGCUAAAAAAAAUUGCUAAAAUUUUUUAGGCAGGUAUGAUAAUCAUAUUGUGGUUAUGCUGUAAAAAAUGUCUUUAUCUUAUAGAUAUUCAUUCAACUGUUCACAGAAGAAAUUCUAUGAUGUCUCGGAUUUGCUUCAGAAUAUAUGAGGUAGGGGUUGGGUUCAAUUUAGAUGAAACUAGAUUGGCUGUGAAUCGAUCAUUGUUAAAGUGAGGUGAUGGGUACAUGAGCGUUUGAUUACGUUGUUCUCUUCAUGAUUUUGUUUGACUUUCCUCUAGUAGAAAAGAAUUGCGUUCAAAAAAUAAAAAUAAAAAGAAUCUUGUUCGCUCAA